rnacentral:lncRNA from 1 species
GUACCUGGUUGCGAUGAAGCUAAACAAGAAAUAAUUCUAUCACUUAUUACCUUUGUCCUUCAAAUUUGAGUAUAGGCCUGCGAAAUAAUGAAUAUUUGUGUCUCAUUGCUCCAGCAUGGUCAAUAAAGAUAUGUUGACCCAGGAAAUGUGGGUUUAUCAUAGGUCCUACUGUAUACGUUGAUAUAUGAAAUAUGAUAUUUACGGUUAUAUGCUAUCACUUAUUGCCUUUGUCCUUUGCAUUGAGUAUAGGCCUGUGAAAUAAUGGUGUAUUUGUGUGUUGAUUCGUCUGUUUUCCUUCAUGUUCUGGUUCUAAGGUACCAGGACAGACCCAGAGUUAUUUGUAAAAAAAUGCGUUCCAAUGUACCAAUAUUUUGUAUCCUUUCUAAUGCUUAAAAAAGAGGCGAAUAAUUCUUUUAUAAUAUGUAAUAUAUGACAUGUGUAACACACCUUAAGAGACUACUAAGUUAUCCUGUAUAAUUGGCACGCCCUACUUUUGUAGUAAUAAAUAUAUCAGGUGCUGCUCCAUACAGGUGAUACAUUGCAUUUACCAUAGUAUUUGAUUACAUAUGAUAACAUAAAAUCUGUUUUUUCCUUAGCGGUUCGGCACAUUAGUACAUAGAAACAGCGUACAGGCAAAUUGAUUAGAUGCAUUAGUUAAGAACACUGAUUUUUUUGGAAAGCUUCAUCAUGACAUCGAUAUUGGUUUCGCCUUACUACCACUCAGAGGUUGGAUGGAGCAUCGAGGAUUUCAGGCUUGGGGUGGCCACGUGUUGCAGGAUAGCAGGAAGAGUUGGAUGUGUUCUGCAGAGACGAGGUGAUCAAUGUCGUUGCCGCCAGGUAGCUGAAGUACAAAACUUCUAAAUUUCCUCAUUUAUUUAUCCUCAUAGUUGGUUCCCUUGAUACUUUUUCUUAGAAACAUGAUCAAAGAUACAAAAAGUUUUACUUCUCAAGCAGAAGUGGCAGUAUAGUGUGCAUGUCGUAUUGCAAGUAGAUUUUAUAGAUACCAAUAGAAAUAAUAACUUGGGAUUUAUUUCUGUUCAACCUCUGUGAUCUAGAUGAGCAAAGCAACAACUUUGGCUUUAUUUCUUUGUGAUGUAGAUGAGAAAAAUAGUACCUUGGAUUUUAAUUCUAUUCUCUAUGAUGUAGAUUAGCAAGAUUUCUAACCAACAAAGUAAUUUAUUUUAGUAUGGUUUUGUCACUAUGAUUGGUAAUAUGAAGUUUAUUUAUUCUAGGUUCCUAUCUUUAGACAGUCACAUCCACGUUCGUACUUUUAGAAUAGUUGUUGCAACGGGGAAGAGCAUUUUUGCAAUAGCAAGAUAUCAGGACCCAAUGGGCAUAGGCCGAACCAACCACCAUCACUAUUGCUUCAGGAUUAGAUAGCCAACUUCCACUCACGAGGUGAGUUUGCUUACUCUACUUUCAGUGUACUGUGCAGAUAUGUUGGUUAGAAAUUUUGCUAUGUGUCUGUCAAGUUGAUUAGAUACGAAAAAUAUGCUCUAUAAUACCCACAUAAUACUUGUUUAAAUUGGCUUUUCCCUGGUUCAUCAGUGCACACAUGAAACCGGUAAUAAGAAGAGAAUCACCUGAUUUUUUAUAGUCUAUUUUAGUAAGCAUGUUCAUAAUAUUAGGAUAGUUUAAUUUGAGAACAAUCGGCUGGAGGAACGAUGUAAUUUGAUACUCUGUUAUGUUGAUCUCCAGAGAAAUUUGGUUUUUGGUUUUUCAUUGAUGUACGUUAAUCUGUUGUGAAUCUUGUUUGCUUGCACCAAUUAUAUGUGUAACAAUUAGAGGGGAACUUUUGGAACUCAUACAUUCUAUUUCAGUUAAUGUUCAAAGCAACUUUCCUGUGUGAAUCUGAUAAUCUUACUGAAACCUGUGUUUCAUUGUGUAUAUUCAGCCUCUCGAGUCAAGUUUCAGACGAUCAUGUAUCCCCUUGAUAUUCACUGGAUGGAAUCCCCUAUUUUACUCAGACUGAACCUUCUACAAACAUCAGAAAAGCAACAGUAAUAAAGAUGGACAGAAAUUCCAAAAAUAAGGUUAGUUCUUGUUUGUUCCGUAUCAUUCUCUUUACCGUUCCUUUUGGUACUAUACUCCAAAAAAGAGGCAAUCGGAAAUAUUUAGGUCCACUGAAAAGUAAUUCUGGAGCUCGCAGAGUUCUCAUUUUUCAGAUUUGUAGUAGUAUUCGCUUUUGGUUUACAUGAUAUUGGCUGUAUCUCCCUGACAACUGCUCUUUGGUUGGUGUAGGUGUUUUUUUAUGGAUGUACCUGGUUGCGAUGAAGCUAAACAAGAAAUAAUGCUAUCACUUAUUACCUUUGUCCUUCAAAUUUGAGUAUAGGCCUGCGAAAUAAUGAAUAUUUGUGUCUCAUUGCUCCAGCAUGGUCAAUAAAGAUAUGUUGACCCAGGAAAUGUGGGUUUAUCAUAGGUCCUACUGUAUACGUUGAUAUAUGAAAUAUGACAUUUACGGUUAUAUGCUAUCACUUAUUGCCUUUGUCCUUUGCAUUGAGUAUAGGCCUGUGAAAUAAUGGUGUAUUUGUGUGUUGAUUCGUCUGUUUUCCUUCAUGUUCUGGUUCUAAGGUACCAGCACAGACCCAGAGUUAUUUGCAAAAAAAUGCGUUCCAAUGUACCAAUAUUUUGUAUCCUUUCUAAUGCUUAAAAAAGAGGCGAAUAAUUAUUUUAUAAUAUGUAAUAUAUGACAUGUGUAACGCACCUUAAGAGACUACUAAGUUAUCCUGUAUAAUUGGCACGCCCUACUUUUGUAGUAAUAAAUAUAUCAGGUGCUGCUCCAUACAGGUGAUACAUUGCAUUUACCAUAGUAUUUGAUUACAUAUGAUAACAUAAAAUCUGUUUUUUCCUUAGCGGUUCGGCACAUUAGUGCAUAGAAACAGAGUACAGGCAAAUUGAUUAGAUGCAUUAGUUAAGAACACUGAUUUUUUUGGAAAGCUUCAUCAUGACAUCGAUAUUGGUUUCGCCUUACUACCACUCCGAGGUUGGAUGGAGCAUCGAGGAUUUCAGGCUUGGGGUGGCCACGUGUUGCAGGAUAGCAGGAAGAGUUGGAUGUGUUCUGCAGAGACGAGGUGAUCAAUGUCGUUGCCGCCAGGUAGCUGAAGUACAAAACUUCUAAAUUUGCUCAUUUAUUUAUCCUCAUAGUUGGUUCCCUUGAUACUUUUUCUUAGAAACAUGAUCAAAGAUACAAAAAGUUUUACUUCUGAAGCAGAAGUGGUAGUAUAGUGUGCAUGUCGUAUUGCAAGUAGAUUUUAUAGAUACCAAUAGAAAUAAUAACUUGGGAUUUAUUUCUGUUCAACCUCUGUGAUCUAGAUGAGCAAAGCAACAACUUUGGCUUUAUUUCUUUGUGAUGUAGAUGAGAAAAAUAGUACCUUGGAUUUUAAUUCUGUUCUCUAUGAUGUAGAUUAGCAAGAUUUCUAACCAACAAAGUAAUUUAUUUUAGUAUGGUUUUGUCACUAUGAUUGGUAAUAUGAAGUUUAUUUAUUCUAGGUUCCUAUCUUUAGACAGUCACAUCCACGUUCGUACUUUUAGAAUAGUUGUUGCAACGGGGAAGAGCAUUUUUGCAAUAGCAAGAUAUCAGGACCCAAUGGGCAUAGGCCGAACCAACCACCAUCACUAUUAUUUCAGGAUUAGAUAGCCAACUUCCACUCAUGAGGUGAGUUUGCUUACUCUACUUUCAGUGUACUGUGCAGAUAUGUUGGUUAGAAAUUUUGCUAUGUGCCUGUCAAGUUGAUUAGAUAUGAAAAAUAUGCUCUAUAAUACCCACAUAAUACUUGUUUAAAUUGGCUUUUCCCUGGUUCAUCAGUGCACACAUGAAACCGGUAAUAAGAAGAGAAUCACCUGAUUUUUUUAUAGUCUAUUUUAGUAAGCAUGUUCAUAAUAUUAGGAUAGUUUAAUUUGAGAACAAUUGGCUCGAGGAACGAUGUAAUUUGAUACUCUGUUAUGUUGAUCUCCAGAGAAAUUUGGUUUUUGGUUUUUCAUUGAUGUACGUUAAUCUGUUGUGAAUCUUGUUUGCUUGCACCAAUUAUAUGUGUAACAAUUAGAGGGGAAAUUUUGGAACUCAUACAUUCUAUUUCAGUUAAUGUUCAAAGCAACUUUCCUGUGUGAAUCUGAUAAUCUUACUAAAACCUGUGUUUCAUUGUGUAUAUUCAGCCUGUCGAGUCAAGUUUCAGACGAUCAUGUAUCCCCUUGAUAUUCACUGGAUGGAAUCCCCGGUUUUACUCAGACUGAACCUUCUACAAACAUCGGAAAAGCAACAGUAAUAAAGAUGGACAGAAAUUCCAAAAAUAAG